rnacentral:rRNA from 1 species
AGGAUAAACGCUGGCGGCGUGCCUAACACAUGCAAGUCGAACGUCCUGUCUCGCAAGAGGCAGGGAGUGGCGGACGGGUGAGUACCACGUGGGUCAUCUACCGUGAGGUGAGGAAUACCGGCGAGAAAUCGCCGACAAGACCGCAUAGGCUCGAUGCAAGUCGAGCAAAGCUCUUUCGAGAGAGGGAGCGCCACACGAGGAGCCUGCGCCCGAUUAGCUAGCUGGUGGAGUAACGGUUCACCAGGGCGACGAUCGGUAGCUGGUCUGAGAGGACGAUCAGCCACACUGGGAUUGAGAACGGCCCAGACUCCUACGGGGGGCAGCAGUGAGGAAUUUUCGUCAAUGGGGGCAACCCUGAACGAGCAACGCCGCGUGCAGGAAGAAGGUUUUCGGAUCGUAAACUGCUUUUCUCGGGGAAGAGAACGGACGGUACCCGAGGAAUCAGCCCCGGCUAACUACGUGCCAGCGCCGCGGUAA